GUGGCGCGAGGGAGUGAAGCCGCUACGACUGGAAGAAACCCGAUCCUACCGAGGCAGAGGGCAGAGCAACGAGCUGUGUGGCCUUCGAUCUGUUCGAGUCGUGGAAAAUUUGAAGCCUUGAGCUUUGGAAGAGAAAAAGAAGAAACAUGAUCAAAAUUCACCUUGGCUUCAUCAAAAGAAUGGAAGGCCAGAUUAUGAAAACUCAUGCGGUGGACAAGGUUGGAGAAAUUAGAAAGUUGAAACCAGCAAAGAAUGUUUAACUUCAAGUGCAGGUACUUCUCACAGAGUCCUACCGGUUAGAACUGUUCAUCAUUACAAGUACUGUUAAUUACUCCAUCUCAACCUUUUAAAAUCAGUGUACGGUUACUGCUUGUGAGGUAGACCAAGUGAUGCUCCUGCUGCAGUGUGGCAGCCAGUGUAAAAGUUGUGUCUGUCCAGCAUAAGUAUUCCCUGAAUGUUUCUAAUGUGCUGUGAUUGCAUCACCCAGGGCCAUGACUCAAAAAAGUGCAAAAAUCCAGGAAAAUUUGUAGAUUGGG